GACGCAGGAGCCGAUGAAGAAGACUGGCCAGGAACUGAUGAGGCUGAUGCAGGAGCCUCCAAUAAAGAAGUCGAUGCAGGAGCCUUCAACAAAAGGAGCUGAGUGGUUUCUUCGGCAGACCGCCUUUGUCCUCAACUGCUAAAGAAGGACAAAAAAAA